rnacentral:rRNA from 1 species
GGUUAAGCGACUAAGCGUACACGGUGGAUGCCCUGGCAGUCAGAGGCGAUGAAGGGCGUGCUAAUCUGCGAUAAGCGCCGGUAAGGUGAUAUGAACCGUUAUAACCGGCGAUACCCGAAUGGGGAAACCCAGUGUGAUUCGUCACACUAUCAUUAACUGAAUCCAUAGGUUAAUGAGGCGAACCGGGGGAACUGAAACAUCUAAGUACCCCGAGGAAAAGAAAUCAACCGAGAUUCCCCCAGUAGCGGCGAGCGAACGGGGAGGAGCCCAGAGCCUGAAUCAGCAUGUGUGUUAGUGGAAGCGUCUGGAAAGGCGCGCGAUACAGGGUGACAGCCCCGUACACAAAAGCGCAUGUGCUGUGAGCUCGAUGAGUAGGGCGGGACACGUGGUAUCCUGUCUGAAUAUGGGGGGACCAUCCUCCAAGGCUAAAUACUCCUGACUGACCGAUAGUGAACCAGUACCGUGAGGGAAAGGCGAAAAGAACCCCGGCGAGGGGAGUGAAAAAGAACCUGAAACCGUGUACGUACAAGCAGUGGGAGCACCCUUCGGGGUGUGACUGCGUACCUUUUGUAUAAUGGGUCAGCGACUUAUAUUCUGUAGCAAGGUUAACCGUAUAGGGGAGCCGUAGGGAAACCGAGUCUUAACCGGGCGUUAAGUUGCAGGGUAUAGACCCGAAACCCGGUGAUCUAGCCAUGGGCAGGUUGAAGGUUGGGUAACACUAACUGGAGGACCGAACCGACUAAUGUUGAAAAAUUAGCGGAUGACCUGUGGCUGGGGGUGAAAGGCCAAUCAAACCGGGAGAUAGCUGGUUCUCCCCGAAAGCUAUUUAGGUAGCGCCUCGUGAAUUCAUCUCCGGGGGUAGAGCACUGUUUCGGCUAGGGGGCCAUCCCGGCUUACCAACCCGAUGCAAACUGCGAAUACCGGAGAAUGUUAUCACGGGAGACACACGGCGGGUGCUAACGUCCGUCGUGAAGAGGGAAACAACCCAGACCGCCAGCUAAGGUCCCAAAGUCAUGGUUAAGUGGGAAACGAUGUGGGAAGGCCCAGACAGCCAGGAUGUUGGCUUAGAAGCAGCCAUCAUUUAAAGAAAGCGUAAUAGCUCACUGGUCGAGUCGGCCUGCGCGGAAGAUGUAACGGGGCUAAACCAUGCACCGAAGCUGCGGCAGCGAACGUAUCACUUAAAGCGAUUCAGCGGGUUACGAUUGACGGAGCGAAGCGACGUCAAAGCGUAUACAAAGUCGAGUCGGUUUAAGGAUACGUUCGUUGGGUAGGGGAGCGUUCUGUAAGCCUGUGAAGGUGGCCUGUGAGGGUUGCUGGAGGUAUCAGAAGUGCGAAUGCUGACAUAAGUAACGAUAAAGCGGGUGAAAAGCCCGCUCGCCGGAAGACCAAGGGUUCCUGUCCAACGUUAAUCGGGGCAGGGUGAGUCGACCCCUAAGGCGAGGCCGAAAGGCGUAGUCGAUGGGAAACGGGUUAAUAUUCCCGUACUUGGUGUUACUGCGAAGGGGGGACGGAGAAGGCUAUGUUGGCCGGGCGACGGUUGUCCCGGUUUAAGCGUGUAGGUGUGUGUUCCAGGUAAAUCCGGUUCACUUUAACACUGAGGCGUGAUGACGAGGCACUACGGUGCUGAAGCAACAAAUGCCCUGCUUCCAGGAAAAGCCUCUAAGCAUCAGGUAACAUCAAAUCGUACCCCAAACCGACACAGGUGGUCAGGUAGAGAAUACCAAGGCGCUUGAGAGAACUCGGGUGAAGGAACUAGGCAAAAUGGUGCCGUAACUUCGGGAGAAGGCACGCUGACACGUAGGUGAAGUGAUUUACUCACGGAGCUGAAGUCAGUCGAAGAUACCAGCUGGCUGCAACUGUUUAUUAAAAACACAGCACUGUGCAAACACGAAAGUGGACGUAUACGGUGUGACGCCUGCCCGGUGCCGGAAGGUUAAUUGAUGGGGUCAGCGCAAGCGAAGCUCCUGAUCGAAGCCCCGGUAAACGGCGGCCGUAACUAUAACGGUCCUAAGGUAGCGAAAUUCCUUGUCGGGUAAGUUCCGACCUGCACGAAUGGCGUAAUGAUGGCCAGGCUGUCUCCACCCGAGACUCAGUGAAAUUGAACUCGCUGUGAAGAUGCAGUGUACCCGCGGCAAGACGGAAAGACCCCGUGAACCUUUACUAUAGCUUGACACUGAACAUUGAGCCUUGAUGUGUAGGAUAGGUGGGAGGCUUUGAAG